rnacentral:tRNA from 1 species
UCCCUGGCAGUCUAGUGGUUGAGACUUUGUGCUUGCAAUGCAGGGGCCUUGGGUUCAAUCCCUGGUUGGGGAA